rnacentral:rRNA from 1 species
UACAGAGGGUGCGAGCGUUAAUCGGAAUUACUGGGCGUAAAGCGCGCGUAGGCGGCUUUGCAAGUCGGGUGUGAAAUCCCCAAGCUUAACUUGGGAACUGCAUUCGAGACUGCAUUGCUAGAGUAUGGGAGAGGGAAGUGGAAUUUCCGGUGUAGUGGUGAAAUACGUAGAUAUCAACAGGAAUACCGGAGGCGAAGGCGGGUAACUGGCCUAGCACUGACACUCAGACCCUAAAGCGUGGGGAUCAAACAGG